rnacentral:rRNA from 1 species
AGUGUUUUCCCAUCGGGCGAAGCCUGACGACGCCACGCCGCGUGAGGGAUGAAGGCUUCGGGUUGUAAACCCCUUGUCGGCGGGACGAUGGAAUGCGGCUGCUUCCAGGGGUGACGGGAUCCCUUCCAAGCGCCCCCGGAAUAACUCC